rnacentral:lncRNA from 1 species
GUUAAAUGCCUUUCUCAAGGUCACGACGGUGCAAAAACCACCGGGGAAAGAGGAUCUCAGGUCUCCGACCUUUCUGCACUGGAAAGGCAGCACGGCGCAACGUGCUCCGCUCUGCUCGAAAUCCCAACGCCACAAGGUUUUCGGGUUAAGGAUGGACACCCCGAAUGCUCUCCACCGAGCUCCACCGGACUUGGGUACCCCGUGGCGUUCCCGUCCGCACUCCCGCCGUCCCAGUCCGAGCGCCACUGCUCUGAGAGGGGCCAGUGAGGGUCACUUACCGUCGCUCUCCGCCCUGACGAGCAGGGACAUGCCCUUCAGCCUCUCCACGUAGCCGGAGGACACAUGGCCAGUACCCCGGUCGUCCCACUGCCGGUCCUCGUUGAGCGUGUAGACCUUCACCCGCCGUCGGGUGUCGGUCAUCGUGCCGGCCGGGGGCCCCGCCCGAGUGGCCCAGGGACAGUGUCCAGAAAAGGCGGGCGGCCGCAAACGGGGAACUCCGGGACCUCAGUGCCACCGCUGGCCGCCGCGGAGCUGCGCCGCCGCUCGCAUGGCCCGCUCCCGGGUCCGAGCCCCGGGCCGCCGCCUUCUCUCGUCUCCUUCUCCCCGGCGCUAUUGUCCAGGCCGAGCGAGCGCGGCCGCCCAGCAGCCCCGACAGGGAACGCGCAGCACUACGCAGCCUACCGGCCCGCCGUUCCAACGAGGUGCGGCUCGGUUCACAGACCCGCUCCGGCCUCCACCAUGACCUCCGCAGAGCCGCUUUCCCGCGCCGCCGCCUCCUCAGGCCGCCGCCGCCAUGUUUUCCUCCCUUGUACCUGGCCCAGCCGCUGCAGCAGGAAGCCCCGCUCCGCUCCUCCCGCUUAAAGCAUCCGAAGCCGGUGAGGUAGCACUUCCCGGGAGACUCCGAACGCCUCUGGCCACCCGAGAACCCCUGGCUCUUCUUAGAAGCCGCCUUCCCUACUCCGCCGCCUCUUCCGUCUUCCUCACAGAGCCAAAGCCGCCGCCAUCUUGGCUCGCCCCUCAAAAGCGGCGCGCGGGGCCACCUAGGCAGUAGCGGCAGGGGCGGCCCGCAAGCCCCACCACUUAAAGCGACAAGACGGGAGCCGGCAGCUUCGCUCCGGCCGAGGCCUUGCACCGAGGCGGGCGCGGAGCUGCGGGGGUGGCGGGAGCGGAGGAGGCGGGACGCGAGUCGCGCCGGUGACGGACCGGGACUCCCUCGCGCUGCCCUGCGCGUACUGUCGUGCAAGCGCGGGCUGCGUGUGCGUCCGUCGCACUUUGAAUUCGUCAUCACCUCGGCUCCGGGCGGGGAAGGGGUGUGGAGUCUGUUGGCGGCUUCUGGAGCCAGACUGGACUCUGAUCCCGGAGCUCGUCCUUUCCCGUGCGAGCCUUCUCCGGACGCUUUAGGGAGGACCUUUGCAGUCGGCCCUGGGGGCGCGGGCUGCUGGCGUCCUCCUCGUCCUCCCCCCGCCCUCCUCCUCCUCCUCCUCUUCUUCCCUUGGCCUGAAAUAGAGAAGUUUCUGAGAGAGGACCGUUUGGACCGCGAGGUUGGCGGGAUGCAGUGAGGCACGCAAUGGCCGGGCAAGUCUAAAACCCUCGACGCGGUGUUCACGCGUGGCACUGCUCCCCGGGAUCAUUCUGAGCACUCACCUCACAAUAAUCAGCGGUUAUCUCCCUUUCUCUGUCGGUUAUCAAAGCUGAUCGUCUGUAGCCCUAGGCUGGUUUGUUUGUUUUUUUAAACAAAAUAACAAAACACAUCUUGAAGGGCUUGCAAAGAUAAAUGCCGUACUGUAUGAAUAAGAUGAAAUUCUUUGUUUUUUUGUUUUUUUUGAAACACAGCCUCACAAUGUUGCUCUGACUGGCUGAAGCAACGUAUGCGAGAAGCUGGGAUCUUUCUUAACCCACACCAGAGACAAGUGCUCGCAAAGACAUACCUGAAAUCAUUCACCAACAAAACUCGGAAGCAUGUAAAAACAAAGCAGUUGCUGUUUCUAAAUACCAGAAUGCAAUCCUUUCAAGCAUCUAGAUGGAGCCCAUGAGCUCCAAGCAGAGCAGGUUAGCAGUAUGGCCCUCUAUGCUGAUUAUUUUAUAGCAAUGCUUCUAACCUUCCUAAAAUGCUCUGACUCUUUUAUAACACAGUUUCUCUUGUUGUGGUGACCCCUCCCUCACUAUAAAAUCAUUUUGUUGCUACUUCGUAACUGUAAUAUGCAGGAUAUCUGCUGUGUCCCGUGUUUGACCGCCAAGGGAUCGAGACCCACAUGUUGAGAACCACCUUUUUAAAGGCCCUUGGAGACUGACUAGCAGAGCUUACACAGUGAAUAGUUUCUUAUCUGCCUUGACUCUUUACCCAUCAAAGAAGAAACUGUUGCUUUCAUCCCUCUGAAACUGUUUUGCUGGAGUACAGAACCCAAUAGAACACACCUAGCCAGUCUCAGUAUUUUGUCUCCUGGCUUAUUCUGAUGAUGGAAAUCAUUUACAAACUAUUUUGUGUCUUCCAGAGCUUUCCUAAAUUGCUAUGAUCCGGGUCUUCCUCUCCUCUAUAAAGUGUCCUUUAGAGACUUUGAAUCAGGGUACACCAGGAUUUGUACUUCUCAGAAUUUCAGAAUUGCCAGCUUGUGUUUGGGAACAAGUACUGUGAGGAAAUAAUUUAUUUGGCGUAUACUUCUAGGUCACAGUCCAUUGCUGAGGGAAAUCAGGGCAGGAACUCAAAGCAGGAGCCUGAAGCAGAAACCAUGGAGGAAUGUUGCCUGUUGGCUUGCUCCCCUCAUACUUAGUUUUUUUUUAUAAAGUCCAGGACAACCUUACUCAGGGAAUAUUGCCACCUGCCAUGGGCUGGGUGCUCCUACGUCAACUAACAAGCCCCCCCCCCCCCAGACAUCCCCAAUAUCCCCACAGGGCAGUGACCUUAGCAGCUCCUCAACCAAAUGUUUUCUCUCAGAUGACACCAGGCUGUGUCAAUUUGACAAAGCAAAGCAGGGCACAUGGGAUCUGUUUAGUUAGAGGAAUGUGAAGCAAUCUUGCCUUCUCUCCCAGUGCACACAACCAACCCUAGAUUAUUUGCAGACCAGAAGUUCACCUGUGGGGCGAAAAGCAAAGUUCCAGAAGCAGACUGCAGCUUGGUGGCUCGCCACAUUUUGUUCUUUUUAUUCACAACUUUCUUGCCAUCAAGAGAUAACUUUUGCCGGACGGUGGUGGCGCACGCCUUUAGUCCCAGCACUCAGGAGGCAGAGGCAGGCAGAUUUCUGAGUUCGAGGCCAGCCUGGUCUAGAGAGUGAGUUCCAGGACACAGAGAAGCCCUGUCUCGGAGAGAGAGAGAGAGAGAGAGAGAGAGAGAGAGGAGAGAGGAGAGAGAGAGAGAGAGAGGAGAGAGAGAGAGGAGAGAGAGAGAGAGAGGAGAGAGAGAGAAAAGGGAGAGAAGAGAGAGAGAGAGAGAGAGAACUUUUAUCAGAGCAAUUUAAAGAGCCUAUCUGCUAAUGUAUUGGAUAUACACAAGAACAUGGGAACAUAUUGUUCAGUUUAUUGAAUAAAAUGAGCAACUGUUAAU